UACGUAGGGACCAAGCGUUGUUCGGAUUUACUGGGCGUAAAGGGCGCGUAGGCGGCAAUUCAAGUCAGCUGUGAAAUCUCCGAGCUUAACUCGGAACGGUCAGCUGAUACUGUUUUGCUAGAGUACAGAAGGGGCAAUCGGAAUUCUUGGUGUAGCGGUGAAAUGCGUAGAUAUCAAGAGGAACACCUGAGGUGAAGACGGGUUGCUGGGCCGACACUGACGCUGAAGCGCGAAAGCCCAGGGGAGCAAACGGG
rnacentral:rRNA from 1 species